GACGAACGCUGGCGGCGUGCUUAACACAUGCCAGUCGAACGGAAAGGCCCUGCUUUUGUGGGGUGCUCGAGUGGCGAACAGGUGAGUAACACGUGAGUAACCUGCCCUUGACUUUGGGAUAACUUCAGGAAACUGGGGCUAAUACCGGAUAGGAGCUCCUGCUGCAUGGAGGGGGUUGGAAAGUUUCGGCGGUUGGGGAUGGACUCGCGGCUUAUCAGCUUGUUGGUGGGGUAGUGGCUUACCAAGGCUUUGACGGGUAGCCGGCCUGAGAGGGUGACCGGCCACAUUGGGACUGAGAUACGGCCCAGACUCCUACGGGAGGCAGCAGUGGGGAAUAUUGCACAAUGGGCGGAAGCCUGAUGCAGCAACGCCGCGUGCGGGAUGACGGCCUUCGGGUUGUAAACCGCUUUCGCCUGUGACGAAGCGUGAGUGACGGUAAUGGGUAAAGAAGCACCGGCUAACUACGUG
rnacentral:rRNA from 1 species